CUGUAUAUAUAUGUCUCCUCUCCCAGCGGGACCCACAUGAGGAGAUAAGGCCGGCCGGCUCCCUCUUCUCCACUUCUCUAUCUCUUCCACUUCUUCUCUCUAUCUCUCCUCUCUUUCUCUGUGCCGUGGCGAGGGGAGGCGCGGCGGCGCCGAGCCAGCGGGGACGGCGGCGGCGGCCCGGCCGCCAGAUUCGGCAGGGGCGGGAGGGGAGGCGCGGCGGCGCCGAGCCGGCGAGGGCGGCGGCGGCGGCCCGGCCGCCAGAUCCGGCAGGGGCGGGUGGGGAGGCGCGGCGGCGGUCCGGCCGCCAGAUCCGGCAGGGGCGAGGGGAGGCGCGGUGGCGGACGACGGAUCUGGAGCCGUGGCGCGGUGGCGGCCGACGGUGGGAGGGGAGGCGGCCGAGGCCCGACGGCGGCAGCGGUCUCCACCUCCGCCGCCUCUACCGGUGACGCCUCCAGCCGCGCCUCCGCCUCCGCCCUCUGCCAGCAAGUUCUCUUUCACCCAUGUAUUUUGUCUUGUGUUGUUCAUAUUGUUCCAAUUGUUGCUACUGUGAUUGAUGAUUCUGAGUCCUAUGGUGAUUGAGAUUCUUGUGAUUUUGUUUUGUGAUUGGGACAACUGCGAUGAAACAAAGAAGAAUUGUGACAAUUUUUUUGAUUUGUGAAUGCCAAAUGCAAUCGGUCUAAAUGAAUGUGAUGGUAACCUAUGAGGACGGUGUUUCUCUUUUUUUUUCCCUUUUUUUCACACCAGUGACGGCCCCAAUUAGUUAGGCCAUUUGAG
rnacentral:lncRNA from 1 species